UCCCCGAUAGCUCAGCUGGUAGAGCGGGUGACUGUUAAUCACCAUGUCCGUGGUUCGAGUCCACGUCGGGGAGCUG
rnacentral:tRNA from 1 species